AGAGUUUGAUCCUGGCUCAGGACGAACGCUGGCGGCGUGCUUAAUACAUGCAAGUUGUACGAGAAAGCAUCCUUCGGGAUGUUAGUAAAGUGGCGAACGGGUGAGUAACACGUAAGAAAUUUGCCUUUAAGUUUGGGAUAACCCUGCUAACGCGGGGCUAAUACCGAAUGUUGUGUCGAUACCGCAUGGUGACGACAUUAAAGCUGGGGCUCCUUUUAGGACCUAGUGCUUAGAGAUGAUCUUGCGUUCUAUUAGUUUGUUGGUGAGGUAACGGCUCACCAAGACUACGAUAGAUAGCCGGCCUGAGAGGGUGAACGGCCACACUGGGACUGAGAUACGGCCCAGACUCCUACGGGAGGCAGCAGUAAGGAAUAUUGCGCAAUGGUCUAACGACUGACGCAGCAACGCCGCGUGACUGAUGAAGCAUUUAGGUGUGUAAAAGUCUGUUAGGGAAGAAGAAUAAGAUUGCCAUUAAUAUGGGCAGUCGAUGACGCUAUUCCCAGAGAAAGCUCCGGCUAACU
rnacentral:rRNA from 1 species